rnacentral:pre_miRNA from 1 species
UUCGGUUUGGAUAACUGUGGUUAUUAAUGGUUCGGUUCGGUUAAUUAACUGCUAUCAAAAUAAUGGUUCAGUUCAUAA